GACGAACGCUGGCGGCGUGCUUAACACAUGCAAGUCGAGCGGUAAGGCCCUUUCGGGGGUACACGAGCGGCGAACGGGUGAGUAACACGUGGGUGACCUGCCCUCAGCUCUGGGAUAAGCCUGGGAAACCGGGUCUAAUACCGGAUAUGACUCCAUGACGCAUGUUGUGGGGUGGAAAGCCUUGUGCGGCUGAGGAUGGGCCCGCGGCCUAUCAGCUUGUUGGUGGGGUGAUGGCCUACCAAGGCGACGACGGGUAGCCGGCCUGAGAGGGCGACCGGCCACACUGGGACUGAGGCACGGCCCAGACUCCUACGGGAGGCAGCAGUGGGGAAUCUUGCGCAAUGGGCGAAAGCCUGACGCAGCGACGCCGCGUGAGGGA
rnacentral:rRNA from 1 species